GGACUCUGACAAGUACUGGAGGAGUGGGAAAAAGUGGACUUAAGUAGGAGUGAGAGGAGGGGGGAGAAAGCAACUAGGUGGUGUAGGGCUCAGAGAUUCACUCAGCUGGAAUACCUACCCUAAAUCUGAGAGCUGUGGUGUGGAACUGAGGCAGGAGCCAACCAGAGACCUGCAUCUAUGGAUAUGGUUGCUGGUGGCUGCUUAUUUCAGAAGGAAAACUGAGUGGCUUGAAGAAAACAAAACCGAAGCCAGCCAAAAUCUAAAAAUUUGUAAGAUGUAUUAUUCACUCCAUACAAUCAGAUCACUCCGAGAGAGCUGUUCCAGUCUCCUGGCUGAAGAUCCCAGGGAAGAGGUAGGCAGUAGCUCAGGCUCUUCAUAAUUCAGACUGUACAUUUGUUCCUUUUAAACGCAUCCAUUUUAUCAUUUGUGUGCGUGUGUGUGUGUGUGUAUGUGCGUGUGUCUAAGCCAUGGAAAAAGCUCACACAGCAAAGCUUUCACAUGGUCCUCACCUGAC
rnacentral:lncRNA from 1 species